rnacentral:rRNA from 1 species
AUUGAACGCUGGCGGCAUGCCUUACACAUGCAAGUCGAACGGCAGCACGGGUGCUUGCACCUGGUGGCGAGUGGCGAACGGGUGAGUAAUACAUCGGAACGUGUCCUGUAGUGGGGGAUAGCCCGGCGAAAGCCGGAUUAAUACCGCAUACGAUCUACGGAUGAAAGCGGGGGACCUUCGGGCCUCGCGCUAUAGGGUUGGCCGAUGGCUGAUUAGCUAGUUGGUGGGGUAAAGGCCUACCAAGGCGACGAUCAGUAGCUGGUCUGAGAGGACGACCAGCCACACGGGGACUGAGACACGGCCCAGACUCCUACGGGAGGCAGCAGUGGGGAAUUUUGGACGAGGGGCGAAAGCCUGAUCCAGCAAUGCCGCGUGUGUGAAGAAGGCCUUCGGGUUGUAAAGCACUUUUGUCCGGAAAGAAAUCCUUGGCCCUAAUACGGUCGGGGGAUGACGGUACCGGAAGAAUAUGCACCGGCUAACUACG